rnacentral:rRNA from 2 species
UACGUAGGGCGCGAGCGUUGUCCGGAAUUAUUGGGCGUAAAGAGCUUGUAGGCGGUUUGUCGCGUCUGCUGUGAAAGGCCGGGGCUUAACCCCGUGUAUUGCAGUGGGUACGGGCAGACUAGAGUGCAGUAGGGGAGACUGGAACUCCUGGUGUAGCGGUGGAAUGCGCAGAUAUCAGGAAGAACACCGAUGGCGAAGGCAGGUCUCUGGGCUGUAACUGACGCUGAGAAGCGAAAGCAUGGGGAGCGAACAGG